CUAAAAAAGCAUUAUAGUCAUUGUCUAGUAACUAGUCUUACUCUCAUUUAAAAAAAUUCUAAUGGUUUAGUCAGUUUUAAGAAAGAUACUGCGUUUUGAUAACGUCUCGGAUGGUGUUUCACUGGUUUCCUAAAAUAUUUAAGUUAGUGUUAAUAUGAAAAGUAUAUUUAUAUUUUGCGUAAAAAUCACUAUAAUCUUAUAAAAAUAGUAUCGUGAUUGGUCCUAUUAUAAUCAGAAAAAGCUCACGAUUGCAUUGGAAAAGACCCACAAAAAAAUAGUAAAAAAUAAAGAAGUUACACAUUGCGUUAUUAUCUAUCCUUCAUUUGCUGACCUUUUCUACGUUCGGAAAAGAUAUGGUCGAACAUCGAACCUCGGUCUAAGGCACUUCAGUCUCACAUAAAUGUGCAUCGACCCUUAUUGUACAUUUGGUUUGUUUUCAGGCAUAAUUAACUUUAUAUUUAUCGAAUGAGAUAUAUUAAAUUGUUUAUUAGAAAUUUAUGACUCAGAAAACGAUCUGUUAAAAAUUUAUGAUACAAAGAACGAGCUUUUCUCAAAGGAAGUUCUGGGAUAACGGCAGUGAGGUCAAUCACAGUCCUCCCACUAGAAGGCAUUGCCUUCCUCACCUCGUGAUCAGAUUCUUCGGAGACAAAGUCCCAAUUCUUUGGCAAAGUGGCGUCAGGCCGCUUGCCUUGUUCAAACAUUGUUUCAAUCGGCAACCUGAGGCGUCCGAUAGGCAGAUCUUCAACCAACGUCCGUUCCCAGAUCUUAGACUCAUUCACUCAUCCCUGAGGUCACUUGCACCUCAAGAUCUUAUCAUAAAACUGUAUAAUACAGUCAUUCUUCUCGGACUCUCUCUUUCUAGAAACGUGUUGCUGCUAACAUGUUUAAUUAAAAUAUAAAUAAAAUAGAAGAAUAACAAAAUUUAAUGUCUUAUUCAAAUCAAAGGCACAGCCCCCAGUUGGUCACCCUCCAGUAAUCGGCUCCAUUACCCUAUUGUACUUUGUUAGCAAAUUGAUGUCAUUUUGGUGUAUUGAGGUAGGUGUGUGACUAUAGAAUCGUGGUAUGUGGCCUCCAAAUUGCCUUUGAAUCAUGACAAAAAUUAGAAAUAAAAAGUUAAGUCAUCGUUUCUAUUCUAGCAUGACUAUGUAUUGAUAUUAAUGUACACCGGCAUUUCAAUUCCAAUCUCCGAACAUUUGUGAGAGAAAUUACUGCAUACAUUGUAACGCCGAGGUUCGUGCUCAACGGGGGAACAGGCGAUGAAAUAAAUUUUAAAUGUUUGUUAUUUAACUCUUAAAUCUACUGUUUCAAAAACUAAGAAACGCAAGGAAACUUCGUUUGAUAAAAUAUCAACACAGUGAUACUGACCUACGCAGAUUUCUCCGGCGGAGGGAUUGUCCAACGACUCGUCAGCUCCCUUUUUGCACGGCGCGAAACUAUGCCUCUCAAGAUCCCACUAAGCGAGAACCGAGAUUCGAAGUGCGUAGAUGUGCGAGAAUCGCACGCAACGCUAUGCAUUCGCACGAGCUUAGCGAGAUCGAGAGAGUCAUACCGUAAUCGGCUAAUCUUGUCGUGAAUAUUAAUCGCGAAUUGGAUCAAAUCCGCCCGGGAUUUUGUUGUUUCAAGGCGGGGACGCGACUGACAGUGACUUCGCGAUUAAUCUUCCGGAAAAGCUGGACUUUUGUCCAAUCGAAGAAUUCGUUCCCUACCUCUAUUCAAUAGGAUGAAGCUGCUAGGUCGCAAGAGAACUAGCAGUUCUAGAUCUAAGAUUGAGGCCUAGACAGUAAGUAGCAAAAACCGAAGGUAGAAUAUUGAAUUGUCUGUGCGUGAUGCGUUGCACUUACUAGACUCUCUUGUAAUCGAUUAUCUUGCCUAACUGCAAGCAGAUCGCGUUUCGCUGGUUGCGGCACCAAGGAUCGCAAUCGAGGUGGCGUGAUCGCGACGACAUCCGGGACACACAUACGGCACGCACACUCGGUACAGGCUCGUGACACACACACGCAAGAGAGGUGGGAUUUCAGAAUGGGGUUCGAUCGUACCGAGUGAAACAUUAGAUAUGGGUAUCACAUCGCUAACUAGCGAAAUAAGGAAGUGGGGAAACAAGUUACUGUGGCUUACGGACCGCCAGUUGGACAGUUGGCCAAUUGAUUAUACAUGUGCAAGAUCUGUGACCCGAACUUACUCUACAAGCUUCAAUAGAUUCUACAAACACAGAAAGUGAAUCAAUAAUUUUACAAAAACACAUAGAAAAAAUUACACGUUUGAGGUAGAUAUCCUGAAAAACGGACAGUGGUUAGAAAUAAUAACAUCGAUAAUACUGACAGUAAUUUGAGUGAAAAUAUUAUUAUUGAAAAAGUUAAGGAGAAGUUAAAAGCGACAAAUUUAGUCACAUAUGAACAGUGGGAAAAUAAUCGUUUUGAGGUUAAUCAUCUAUUUAAAUGUGCCUAUGAUAAUGGUGACGAAUACUAAACCUUGUUAAGUUUAGUUGCUAAAAAUGGUUACAUUAAUAUAGUAAAAGUUCUAAUAAGGAAAGGAACAAUUGUUAGUAAACCAAAUAGCUGCGAUAGUACUCCUUUACUUUUGGUUGCUAGCAAUGGCCAUUUGGAAAUAGACAGAGUUUUCAUACAUAACGAAGAUGAUGUUAAUAACCCAAACAAAUACGGAAAAUCUCCAUUUUUUUGUGCAGCUAAAAAUGGUCACUUAGAAAUAAUGAAAGUUCUAUUGAACAAAGGGGUUAAUACUAAUAUAAUAGCUUAUGACGGGUCGACUCCUUUGCAUUGUGCUUCUGGUAAUGGCCAUUUAGACACAAUAAAAUAUCUCGCAGAAGAGAAGAAUGUUAA